rnacentral:rRNA from 1 species
UUCCUACGGGAGGCAGCAGUGAGGAAUAUUGGUCAAUGGGCGAGAGCCUGAACCAGCCAAGUCGCGUGAAGGAUGACGGCCCUACGGGUUGUAAACUUCUUUUGUCAGGGAGCAAUUGGGUCCACGCGUGGGCUUAGCGAGAGUACCUGAAGAAAAAGCAUCGGCUAACUCCGUGCCAGCAGCCGCGGUAAUACGGAGGAUGCGAGCGUUAUCCGGAUUUAUUGGGUUUAAAGGGUGCGUAGGCGGAAUGCCAAGUCAGCGGUAAAAUCGCGGGGCUCAACCUCGCUCCGCCGUUGAAACUGGCG